GACGAACGCNGGCGGCGUGCUUAACACAUGCAAGUCGAACGAAGAGCGAUGAAAGCUUGCUUCUAUCAAUCUUAGUGGCGAACGGGUGAGUAACGCGUAAUCAACCUGCCCUUCAGAGGGGGACAACAGUUGGAAACGACUGCUAAUACCGCAUACGAUCUAACCUCGGCAUCGAGGAUAGAUGAAAGGUGGCCUCUACAUGUAAGCUAUCACUGAAGGAGGGGAUUGCGUCUGAUUAGCUAGUUGGAGGGGUAACGGCCCACCAAGGCGAUGAUCAGUAGCCGGUCUGAGAGGAUGAACGGCCACAUUGGGACUGAGACACGGCCCGGACUCCUACGGGAGGCAGCAGUGGGGAAUCUUCCGCAAUGGACGAAAGUCUGACGGAGCAACGCCGCGUGAGUGAUGACGGCCUUCGGGUUGUAAAGCNUCUGUUAAUCGGGACGAAAGNCCUUCUUGCGAAUAG
rnacentral:rRNA from 1 species